rnacentral:misc_RNA from 1 species
AGCCGGGCAUCAUCUGAUCAAUCCAACGUCGAUCUUUUCAUUCCCUUCAUUUUGGGGAUUACAGUUGCCAUGUACAUCACACUACUCAGCAUCAUCAUUAUUACAUGUCAAUAUGCCUGGCCAACAGUUUUCUUAUUAAUUCCGCUUGGCUGGCUGAACAUCUGGUACAGGGGAUACUUUCUUGCAACAUCCCGAGAAUUGACUCGCCUUGACUCGAUCACCAAAGCUCCCAUUAUUCAUCACUUCUCAGAAAGCAUCUCAGGAGUUAUGACAAUUCGCUCUUUCAAUAAGCAGAAAAGUUUCUGUCAGGAAAAUGUUAACCGAGUUAAUGCCA